UAGCGCCAGGUUGCCGACCAGCACCCGCACGAACGGGCACGGGUCCAUCGCUCACGGCGGCAGGCAGGCAGGUCGCAAUGCCUGCGACGACGACGACGAAUCGGUGAUGCGAGGCGUGGCAAUGCGGAUGGGAGGCGGCAAUGGCGGGCGGAAUCGGAGACGAAGACCGGAAGGGGGGGGAAGGGGAAGAGGAAAGGCUGGCACGGCGGCUGGGUGUGUUUUCGAUUUUCUUCUUCGCGAUGGGGAAGGAGUUGAGUGGUGACGAGGGAUCAUAGGCCUAGGGUAUAAGACUGGCCUCGGCCAGCCUGGAUCCCGCUCCGGUGAGCUGUUCACCUGCGCGCGGGGGGGCGGGGGCCUAUUUCCUCGUCGCCAGCGGUCCCGUCCCUGUCGCGGACACGUGGGUCCGGACCCUUGAGGUGGAUGUGGAUCCCAGCUGUCAGUGUGAGAAUGUGGAUGCGAACUCGGUGGAGUCAGGAUAAGGCUGGUGGUGGGCGUACGGGGAGGCGUGCGAGGCCGGUCCUCUCUGCCCGGUCAGUCCACUCCAGUCCAGUACAGCUGCAUGCCAGGCGCUUUUGCGGUGGGGCAGCGUGGGGUCGUCCCUGUGGCCGUUUUUCCUGGACGCCUGCCUCUUCUGCCGUUCUGCGUUCCCCUCCGGUUCUCCUCCCGCGGAGGGGCUGUUUAGUACUUUCGUUUAUUUAAUCACUUUCGCUUGUUUUUUUAUAAUUAUUAUCUAAUUAAUUGUUAAUUAGAUUCAAAAAAUAUUUCAUAAAUUAGAAAUAAAUUAUAUAAUUAGUUAUUUAAUACUCUAUGUAUUUGUAAGAUUUGAUGUAAUAGAAAACUUUUAAAAAAAUUUAAAAUUUUCCAGAAACUAAACAGCCGGUCACUUAACGGCGACGGCAAGCGAUUUCACCGCGCCUUUUUUACCGAGCCAGCGGCGGAAAGGCGGAUCCUACAGUACAGCCACAGCAUCCUCGGCGGCUGCGUGAGAAAGGACGAAAGGGACAGGGCAGCGGGGGAAGCCGCAGUUCGUGGGCCCACAGUGCCGGCGAGCCUGCCGGGCCAUCACUGCCGGCGCGGGGCCCUCAGCUGCGGCGUCGCGGUCCGGGGCCUUGUUUAAGACCGGUUUAGAUUGGGGAUGAAAAUUUUUUGUGUGUCACAUCAGAUGUGUCGGAAGGAUGUCGGGAGAGGUUUUUAGAAACUAACAAAAAACAAAUUACAUAGCUCGUCAGGAAACUGCAAGACAAAUUUAUUAAACAUAAUUAAUCUGUCAUUAGCAUAUGUGGGUUACUGUAGCACUUAAGGCUAAUCAUAGAGUAACUAGGCUUAAAAGAUUUGUCUCGUGAUUCUCAACUAAACUGUGUAAUUAGUUUAUUUUUUUAUCUACAUUUAAUGUUCUAUGCAUGUGUCCAAAGAUUCGAUGAGAUGGAUGAAAAAUUUUUUGGUGGGGAACUAAACAGGGCCUUAGUUCCUUGCCGAAAUUUUUUCGACACCGUAGCACUUUCGUUUGUUUGUGGUAAUUAUUGUCUAGUUAUGGACUAACUAGGCUCAAAAGAUUCGUCUCGUAAAUUUCGACCAAACUGUGCAAUUAGUUUUUAAUUUCGUUUAUAUUUAAUACUCCAUGCAUGCGUCUAAAGAUUCGAUGUGACGGGGAAUUUUGAAAAGUUUUUGGAUUUUAGGUGGAAGUAAGGCCUUGUUUAGUUCCCAAAAAAUUUUGCAAAAUUUUUCAGACUCCCCAUCACAUCGAAUCUUUAGACACAUGCCUGAAGUAUUAAAUAUAGACAAAAAUAAAAACUAAUUGCACAGUUUGGUCGAAAUUUACGAGAAGAAUCUUUUGAACCUAGUUAGUCUAUGAUUGGAUAAUAUUUGUCAAAUACAAACGAAAAAGCUACAGUGUCGAUUUUGCAAAAUAUUUUGGAACUAAACAAGGCCUAAACAAGGCCCGGAUGUCAGUGGGCGCGGGGGAAUUGGAUCAUCAGAUGAGGUGUCGCCUUUGCGGUGCCGGUGCGACUGGCUGCAGUGCAGUUAAAGAUUAAGGGUAACGGCCCCAGGUUUUGCGGUUUUGCCCCUUGCCGGACGGGGAAAAAAGGAAUCGUGACCGCUUUGCGUUGCUUUGCUUCACAGCGGGGGGAGUGUGAUUGUAGCAAACAAAAAAACUGCAAUCAAACAAAUCAUACUCCAUAUGAUAUACCUACAGGGGCUCGAACCAAAAAUAUUUGAAUGAGCAACGCAAGUGAAGUGAAGUUUCAAAAAUAUUACGUCCACAUGAUAUACCUUGUUUUCCACAUCCACAUAAGUUUUUGGUGCAUAUAUAUGAAGGGAUCUUUUUUUACCUCCAGCAACCGAACGACCGCACCUACAGGGGCUCGAACCGUGCACGUUUGGGUGCGCCGAACGGACACCUUGACCAUAUGCUCCGUGGAGCCGUUGAGAGUGUUUAGAAAAUUGAAAAAGUGAUUAUAUCUCUCGCUUUGGAUUUUCGUAUCAAAAAAUUAAUUAAUGUGUAUAAAAUAUAUACAAUAUUUCUACCACUAAAUAAAUUUAUUAAAGAAAAUUAGAUUCAAAAAUCCUUCCGAUGAUGUCGAUUAUAUGUAAUAUAAAUAUUAAAAAAUUUUAAUACAUAUUUUGUCAAAGAUGUUUCUCGACAAACGAAAACGAAGAAGGGAGUAGUACCUUUUAUCUAGAAACAUAUGCCCGUCCCAAAAUAACCCGUUGAUAGUUAUUUUGGGACCAAGGGAGUAAGAGAGUGUUUAGUUGGUGUUAAAGUUUAAUAGGUACUGUUGCAUUUCGUUUUAUUUGACAAUUACUGUCCAAUCAUAGACUAAUUAGGCUUAAAUGAUUCGUCUCGCAAAUUACUCUCUAGUUAUGUUUUUAGUUUUAUAAAUAAUCUGUAUUUAAUACUUCAUGCAUGUAUCUAAUAUAUUCGAUACGAUGGUUGUUAAAAAAAAUAAGGCCAACCAAACAGGCCCUAAAUUAACAUGGAGAAUUAGGCCCUAUUUUGGUUAGGCCUGUUAGACUUUACCAUCUGUGACAUCGAAUGUUUGGACACAUGUAUAAAAUAUUAAAUAUAGAUAAUUUACAAAACCAAAAACACAACUAAAGAAUAAUUUGCGAGAUAAAAUUUUUACUCUAUGAUUGACACUAAUUUCCAAAUAAAAUAAAAAUGUUACAGUACAAACUUUAACAACAGACUCCUUGGAAUGUGUAGAAUGUAUAAAUGAUAAUUCCGGCGGGAGCCUUAAACGUGGACAGCGGGUGUCAUUAGGUAGAGUAGAGGAAUUUGACCUGCAACAGCAUAUAAAAAGAAUAUUAGUCUAUGAUUCCGUAAAAUAAAACUAAACAUUGUGUAAAAUUUUUGGUAAAAAGAUAGUUAUUCUUCAUUUUAGAUUUUGGUUUUAAUAGACAAAAGAAAAAGCAUAAAAGAGUCUCAAGAGGACCUCUUGAGAACAAUAAAUUCUGUAUUUUGAACGAAACUAAACAUAACCUUAAAAAAAUUGGUAUUUUGUAUUCCAUCGUUUUUUGGGCCUUUAAAGUAGUUGGUAUUUUGUAUUUUGUAUUUGAAACUAAACAACCCUUACUCUUACUGUAUAUAUUGAAAAGAAAAACAUAACAUGAGAAGCGGAGAAGACAAACAUGAAAAGAGAGGAGGAGAAGACAAGACAAAAGAGGUCGCACGGACGCAAUCAUAGGGAUUCCCCUCUCGCUCUCCAAUCGCAGGUGAUGUGUUCGUCUGACUGCUCGGUGGGUCCAAGGCAUGCGGGACCCGGUUGAAAGUCACGUAGCCCGUGCCAUUCAUGGUCGACACAAGCAGGGCGCAUGACGAGUGGUUAAGCUGUUCUAGUACUCGUAUUGUUCUUUUUUGAAAAUAGCAAAAUGGAAAAUUUUAAAAGUGUGGUUGGUUUGGUUGGACUACAGCUGGGCACAGGCUGUUCCGGAUGGACGGACGGCCUGCCGGCCUGCUUGCCUGUCCUGUUGAAUUGAGGCACUCCGUUUCGAAUUCAAACCUUAUUUUAUUAUUCAUAUGCUCAUCCAGUAGUUGACAUGCGUACUUUUUUUUAAAAAAAAAGAAAAGGUCCACAUUCUCCAAACUAGAAAAAUGAAUGGAUAAAAAGGACAUGCGCAGACAUGAGCAAAUUUUGUGUCACCGUGUACGAGCUGCCAAUGGACAAUGGUGGAGCAGUAGCAUACCAACGAACGCCGCAUGAGCAGCUGUCUCCCGGAGGCAACCCAUUAGAGUAAAGUAUUACAGUGAGCUUAUAAAUCGGCUAAAUACUGAGGUGGAUAAAAGAAGAGAGGAGAGAAAAGAAGCAUGCUGUAAGUUUACAGUCAGCUUGUAAUCAUAAAAUUCUGUGAGAGAGAUAAGUGAGUUAUGUAUUAAUAAUGAAUAGCUAACUAUUGUAUGGGUAGGCUGAAAGAAAGCUACAAGUAACCUUACACAGCCAGCAAGUGGAUUGUAUUAUUAAACUUGCUCUUAGAAGACCUAGAUUCAAAAUGAGUCUCGACAUAAUAUCUAUAAUAUCUAAUAGAGUACCUAUAUGGAAGAUCUAUUUUUGAUAUGAAAAGAGGUAUAACCCAAAUAGGAGUAUCGUUUCUCCUCUAGAUCCAUUUGCAAGUAGGGUUUUCUUUUGAGUCUUAUUGUUAGAAAAGAUUAAAAAUAGAUAUAGAACUCUUUGCCUGUAGCGUUAACUUGGAAUGGAUUUUAUAUUUUGGAUGUAUUGACCGCCGUGGUCACCUAGGAUGAUUACUGGCAGGGCACUAUGCUUGGUUUCAGGUGAUUUUUUUUAUCACCAAUCACAUUAAAUGUUUGAAUAUAUGUAGAGACGAAUCUGCACCCCAGGCUAAGGGGUCUACAGCCUGAGGUGUAGUAUAAAAUUGCUAAGAAUACCUCCUCAUCUCCAAUCCAAAAUAGUUUAGUCUAGAUAUUCAGCCCUACUCGGUACUAAUGUGUCGUGGGAUUUUUAGCCUUCUCUUACUAUUUAGCCCUCCCUCUUGUAUCAUUUCUGAAUAUAUAUUAUUUGCAACACUAAGACAACAACUAGAGGAUAAUUUGCGAGAUGAAUCUUUUAAAACUAAUUAGUCCAUAACUAAACACUAAUUAUCAAAUAAAAUAAAAAUACUACAGUAUCAUCACUCCAACAAAAUACCCCUAGUCCCUAGACCAUGUAGUAUAUGCUAGUACUAUAGUACUACUACGUAUUUGCUGCAGUUCUGGUAAACUGGUCACGUGAGAGGAAAGUGCAUAUGCCAAUCAGCCAAUGCAUGCAUACAGUUGGCUAUUGAGAACUGACCUCGUAUAUACUAUUACAUCCCUCGUAAAAUUCCAAGCGCUUUCUGACGACACUCACAAUACAGACUCUAUCAUGGAGUCUAAAGUUAUUUAUUAUUUUAAACAAUGUAGACUUGGAGUCUAAAUAAGACUUGGAGUCUUAUUUUUUCUACCUCUUUCUUCAAUAAAUACGGUGCCACAUCAGCAAAAUACCAUAAAUAAUAUGUAAUUAAUUGUCUUGGACUCUAUAAUAGAGUCUUGCAUUGGGAGUGCCCUGAUGAAUAUGAAUGUGCAGUGCUGGUCGUUAAGAAAAAACAAUACAUUCUGUACACAGGUUUAUGUACGAGUUCAUUCAAAAAAAAAAAUGAGCCCUCGUACCCUCUGUUCGCUUACACUACUUCAAUAAUACUUUUUAUUGAAAUAAUACUAUUUUACUCUUACAAUAUUUUAAUACAAAUUUUGCCAUAAGCUAAGGCUAUGUUUAGUUUCUCAUAUAAUGCAAAAUACAAACUACUUUAGAAUGAUAAAAUAUAAAAUAUUAAAAAUUUUACGGUUAUAUUUAGUUUCAUUUAAAAUACAGAAUUUAUUAUACUCAUUAGAGCUUUUUAAGGCUCUUUUGGACUUAUUUUUGACCUCUUGAAGCUAAAAUAGAGAAUAGUUACGUUUUUGUUAAAAUUUUACAGGAUGUUUAAUUUAUUAUACAAAAUAAUAAACUAAAACCUAAAAAAAUAUAAGAUAAAAGAAGAACUAAACACACCCUAAAUUUCAGCUAAACAUACUGAGCAGAGCCGGCGGCCAGCUGGCCACAUCAAAGCAAGCAAGCUGGGCUCCCGCUUUGCUAGUGCUUCUCACGACGAUUUGAUGUGAUUUCAAACAGAAUUAGAGUGGUUUGAGCUUAUCAAUCAAAUCUGCCAAUCAUUUAACAGUAUUUUUCUAUCACAAUAAAUCAGCAAACAGCCAAACAAAUAAGGUGAGCUUUUUAUUUUAUAUGCAAACAGCACACUACUAGGCUAGCUGUACUGUAGUGCAAACAGCAACUUUAUAAAUCCGAUUGAGCAAGCGUUGCUUUCUGUUUUUGGUUGGGUCCGUCUGCAUGGGCCCUCAAACCUCAAGCCACGCUAAAUAAAGCUACACUACUAGGCUAGCUGGUGAACAGGUGAAGCUAAAGCAAAGAUUAAGAGCCUCCUUUUUUCUUUGCUUUGCUUUGCUCCCGGCCUGUCUGUCUGUCUGUCUGUCUGUUAUGGAUAGGCUGGCACUAAUCAUGGCGCUAAUGACCGCUGGCCUGCCACACCACACCAACGACGCUGAAUCUCCGCCCCCGAAAUUUUGCUUUUUGUUCCAUUCCAUCUCGUGUGUGCUACACUCCAGGUUCAGCCUUUAUCAGAUGAUGCAUUCAUUCAGCAGAUGUUUACCUGUGCUGUGCUGCUGUAUAGAACGAGUUCUGCAGAGCAGAAGAAAAAAACACCCACACCAGGUACUUUAGCCCCUCAGAUCGGAUUAAUUAACUGCACCUGCUCGCAAUCCAUCUCGUAAAGUUUCGGUUUGUUUUUUUUUAUCUACUGAUGACCACGCCAAUGCCAGUAAUAUAUCUAUCGUCAGUGCUCAUCAGCUGGCGGCCGGCCGUUUUUUUCUAUUCUACUCCCCAUGUCAUUAUCACAUAAUUACUCUAUAUGGCAGGGCAGCAAAGCUAGCUAGCAUGGUUACAAAAGGAUGUGACGAUCAGACAGACGAUCCAGAAUUUUUAAUCCCCUCGUCUUCAUCAGUCAGACAGUCAGUCACAAGAUGCAACAACAACAGAUCCUGCGCUGCGUGGAGUCACCCAGGCCAGCCAGACCGUGUGAAUAAUAGGGCUUUAAUUUGACCACGCCAUCCUGCACGCGACAGGUACUGUGUAAUUAACAAACCAGCUGUUGUGAGCACUAUAGGCUGUAUCCACUCCCUUGGCUGCGUGCGAGCUGCGAAACCAAACAAGGUGCAAAUUAAUUUGAGGCCCCUGCUAGUACCAAGAAAGACUUGCAGGCGGUGAUGCAUUUUCUCAGAUGCACAAGGGUGUAUCAUGGUCAGAUGAACUAAUUAAACUACUACACUGUCAAGCUUUGUGGUUGGUUGGUUGCAACAGAGAUCGACUGACAAGCAAACCUGUCAAACUCGGCCACAUGUUUCCAGUUGAAUACUACUUGGGAUGUGACUUGGGAGUUGGGACAAGGAGAUUUGGGUAGCUACGCACGCCUGCUCCAAAGCUAAGCAACUCUCGUGAGUGCCUUCGAUCUCGGCAGAUCGCGGCCCGGUGGAGGAAGUAGUCAUAGUCGUGCCUGCUCGCUUCCAAAUAAGGACGGACGACCAUGUAUGUCUUGGUUUCCUAAUUCUUUGUUCUAGCCCUGCGCAUAACACGGUUGUCAUUAUUGUUCAGUGAUUAUUUCAUCUCAAUCGCUUAUUGCUCUCGACCUUUAAAAAUAAAAUAACAAAUCUCUCUCACGUGGAUCCAGGAGAGGCCAUACGCAGCCAGCUAGUUUGGUUGCGGUGUACUCCGUACAAGUGAGCAGCUAACAAGCACAACACUGAUUGCACGUGGAUGGGAGUGGAUGUCUAUUUCGAAAGAAUCUUGUUCCUCCCAUCUCAACAAGUUGAUGUGAUCCGGUUAAGCAUUCGUGCCAUGCUGUCUCCUUACCUUACUCUUCAUUUUUCCUAGUAGCCUCUUUAAUCUUUAUCUGAAGUACCCCAAGCAUUAUAAAAAAGUAAUGCAAGUACAUUAUUACAUAAAACAUUUUCCAUAACUUUUCCGACCGGUUCAAUAAAAAUUGUUUAUAAUAAUAUAUACUGCCGGUCCCUAAUAAAAUCGUAGGCGCAAAUGAUUCUCACAGCCGCCGAGCCAUGUAACCUUAGGGUCGAAAGUAUUGGCACCAAGUCAGAAAUCAAACCUAUCAGGGCAUAUUUAAGAAAAACUUUCAAAAAAGGCUAAAAACAAAAAAGACAUGUAGCUAGAAUUUGAAUGACCUCUCGAGGCAUAUUUAAGAAAAACUUUCAAAGAAGGCUAAAAACAAAAAAAGACAUGUAGCUAGAAUUUGAAUGACGAUAUAAAAAGGGUUCUCCUUCCAUCCCAAAUUAUAACAUGUUUGACUUUUUUGACCCCAAGUUUAACCACUCGUUUUAUUCAAAAAAUUUAUGCAAUAGUAAAAUUGAAAUCAUUCUUGAAGAACUUUUAUUAAUAAACCAAGUCAUGACAAAAUAUAUAGUAUUUUGCAUAAAUUUUUGAAUAAGACAAAUGAUCAAAUUUGAUGUAAAAAAUGUCAAACAUCUUAUAAUUUAGGAUGGAUUAGCUUGACUCUCACAUGGCAUCUAUGGAUAUUUCUAGAGACCUCUUGAAAACUGGAAUACUGCCACCAAUACUACAACUAGCUUGACUCGAUCUCAAUCAGAUGGGUUUUGCACUUUAAACUGCAGCCGACCAAGGUCGAAAACAUGCAUUUUCCAAUCCAGCAAUAACUACAGUUCAGGAUCAGGAUCAAGGACAGUUUCGGUGUUUAUUGGCAUCAACCCAGUGCUUCUCACCCAAACAAAAUACCGGCAGCCAAUGAAGCAGAAUCUUCUGCUGUUACAAAAAGCACUCUACAAAUAACCCAGACGAAAGCAGACUGAUGCCCUCGCUCACUUGAAAUGGUAGAGGGGCAGCUCGGUGUUGAGGGGGUGGGACAUCACGGUAAGCACAUCCGUCACCGACACCAUGGAGCUGAUUGCUGCCUUCAGGAUCUCCCGGGAGCACCCUGGCUUCACCAUGGUCCUAACCUGGCAGCGCAUCAUCGUUGGGCAUGUCAAUGUUAGGACCUGCUUCUUAAAUGGAAACCUUUUUUUUUUCUAUCUGAAACUACUCUGAAGCAGAUGAAAGGAUUUUCGGUCCCAACCUUGCCAAGAUACUCUUUCAGUAUCUCAAUGUCGCCCAUGUAGUCCUGGUUCUCAAUGGUCAGUGUGAUGGGCUUUGCGUCUGAACCAGGCCCUUCGAACUGAAUGCCUCCUGGAGUCCUGUAGAAGUCAUCGAGGAGGAAGCUUGAAGCCUUCUCUCGCAGCAACCUGAAUGAUGCAGGAACAAAAUUGAUUCAGUACACCUUCCCUCAACGUUGCAUCGUUUCCUUGAGUAAUCAGAAAAGCAGGAACAGAUAUUGAGUCCUGUCUGUGUGGACUUACUCAUAAGCCUUCCCUUUUAGGUCAAUGGGGGAAGGAUGAAUGGAAGGUCUUCCUAUAGGGAUUGCUCCAGGGCCACGUAAAUGCCUCUUGACACUCAUCAUCGCCUGGUAGAGUGCAACUAGGUCAGUAAUGAGCACAUAGAUAGAUAGUAAUCUUUCAGAAUCUGAUGUUGAAGGCAUGGUCAGUGGCAUCUUACAGUUAAAGGAGCAGCAGCACAUCUCCAUUUGUCAACAGGGUCUUUCAGGUUAGCCACAGUUGCCAUGUACCCAGUCAAUCCAACUGUGAUCAUAUGCAGGGAGAUACGUCCAAGAGCCUAAAAUGUUUAGUGUUAUCAUGAAUAACAUAAGGAUUAGAUCAUCAGAACAUUCAGUUUUAUAAAAUCUCAGUGAUAUGAUAUAAUACUCACAUAAGCAUAGUCACAGUCAAAAUUUGACGGUAUAGAUCCUCGAGCCUGAUAUCCAAAGAAAUGACAAACUGAACUGAACUUCCUUCCCUUGUAUCUUCCUUCUUUCUGAAUAUCAAACAUUCCCAAUCACUAUGGACAGAUUCAGAGACGAAAACACCAAGAAAUAGUGACAACAAUGGAACUUACUGUUCUCUUUAUCAUUUCUGUUUCUACUAGAUGGGCUAACAGUUGCUCCGUGUCAAUCUGAAAAUAAAAGGACACUAUAAUACCAAUAAUUAUUAAAUAAGUUCUGACCGAGUAGUUGUUGGGCAUUCAGAAUCGCAAAACCUGGGACAACUGUGCAGAGUUAUCUGAUUCUUGGUGGAGCAGCAGCUGAGUGAAAUAUUACAAAUAGUUAAUCCAUAGUUUAUCUCAAUGUUAUAAAUAUUAAGAAAAUCCAACUUUGUUAGCAAUGCAAUACCUCUCUUCUGAUGAAGGGUGGCAAGAACUGGAACAGAGCAGCUGCCCAUGGAGACAGUUGUGAUGACAUCUCAGCCACCGGAACAUUAUUGUUGUGAAGGAUAUUGAUUUCCUGGGGUAUUUGAACAGAAAAUAAUAAGAUGGAACUGAAAUAAUGCUAUUUAUCAUCCCAUUGUUUCCCAGAAGAUAGAUCACACAUACCUGAAUAAGAGCAUACAUUUCUGGAAUGCUUUCUAUAAGUCCUUCGGGAAUUACAAGCACACCAUGAUAUUUCCCUGAAGAUGGAUAAUCAGUCUUUUAGUUUAUGAUUUAUCACAUCCCUGAAGAUGGAUAACCAGUCUUUUAGUCUAAGAUUUAUCACAGUACCCUGAUACCUUGAUCGACUAGAAAAUUUACCUCAACCAAAGAUACAAGUUUUUUUCUACUAAUUGAUGCAGCAUAACAAUCAAAGAACUGUACAAACCUAAUUCUGCCCUUGCUUGUACACCAUCGCAUAUCUUGUUUAUAAUUUCCAUCAGAGUGAGUUUUGACAAUGCUACUUCCUCUCCUAAGAUGAGCUGCAAAGAACAAUUGAAAAAAAAGGAUGCUGAUGCUCUUUCUUCACAUUGUAUAGUAGAGAGUUAUGACCACAAAUUUGAUACAAUCAUACCAUGUUUGGGUGUGACUGAAGUGCACAUUCAAAGGCAACAUGAGAUGCUUUCCGUCCCAUCAGACGAACAAAAUAAUAGUACUGAAAGGAAGAAAACACAUCAGCCAAUAGUUCUUAGUAGCAAUAAUGAUUACAGUCUACUCAGUUACUAAUCCAAAUGGGUGACAGGAUAAUUACCUUUCCAGCUGAGAUUGCAUCGAGGCAAACAUUGCUUACAAGCUGUGAAUUAACCUGUAAAGUAGUUACCACACAAAAUGACAUUAGUGACAGAUCGACAGUGGUAUGUCAUAUUUGAUUCCAAGCCCUUCACGAAUCAUGAUCGACACAUUAUGCAAAAUGUCUACUAGACUAUGUGUUUUACCUUGCACACUGUAUCAAAUCCAACUGUUGUUUCAACGAACUGGUUCUUGAGGUCACCAUUCAAUGAAACUGGCACACCAACGACCUGUUUAAUGGGUUUUGCAUUCUUAGAGAUUUUUGGUGUGCUUGAAGAAUAUGAUCAUUUAAAAACAGUUUAGACUAAUAAUAGUUAUACCUUGGUCUUACAGUUAUUCUGUAUAAGGGUCUCUGCAAGCUGUGCAGCAUCUGAAUUGGAGGUCACUCCUGUAAACAGAGUGAGAACAAUGUUUUUUUUAAAUGUUAGCUUGAACCAAGAGAAAAUUCAUGGUAAUUCUUACUAUAAACAUGUACUGCGUUUUCACAUGUUAGAACACAACAAGAUUUAAACUUCUGUGAUGACCACCAACUGCUUGGUCAAUUUGUUUAUAAAAUAAGAAUCAUCACUUGUGGCAUGUGCAUGCAUAUUAAGUCAAAACAAAAGAUGACCGGGUUUUGGUAGCCUUUGGUGAGCAUUGGGUGUCUACCUCCAAUGAUGACCAACCCAUCCAAGUUCAGACUGCGGCAUGUUGUCAUUGCAGCAUUCACUUGCUUAGUAGUGCGGAUCUGAUCGAUACUCCUACCGAGCAAAUCGAAGCCACCUUGAAAAGAGCAAACAAGAUAUGUCAGUAUUUGAGAAUCACAGAAAAAUGGCCACAAUUAGUUGGGGGACAACAAGUGGCCCCAACCUUGGUUCUUAUAGGAAGCAAGAACAUCGUCUGUGAGCACCAACGUCUUGUUUGCAAACAGUCCCUCCGUGCCACCUAUAAUACGAAGCACACAAAUGAUUAAAAAAGGAAAAGGCACUUUUAUAGCAAAAAAAAAAAGUGUGAUCGAAUAGGUAAUUUUCAAGAAAUUGGGAGAUUUUGGUUACCGACAAAUCCGUAGAGCACGCUCUGAGGAUUGUAGGCUUUGAGUGCGUCAUGGAGGCCCCAGACGACGUUGUGCCCUCCCGGCGACUGCCUCCCAGAGAACACCACGCCCACCCUACAGAGGAAGUAAAAUCAGGCAAGCCUCCUCGCCCGAUCUCGCGACGCACACGCACAAGACUAGACUGGGCGUCCUGAGGCAGACCUGAUCGGGUGGCGCUCCUCAGCAGCUGCGGCGUCGGCGGACGGCGCGACAAAGCUGACGAGCGGCUGGCCGAAGGUGUGCGGGAAGGCCUGCGCGACGGCUUGGGCACAGGUGGGGUCGAUGGUGGUGGUCGCGUCGCCGUACUCGGCCCUCACCGUCGGCCCCUGGACCGGGGAGAAGGAAUUGGGUUAAUUAAAACCGAUUUGUUUGGCCGUGGAUUGAUAGAGGAAUCAAGAAGGGUAACAAAACCCCCAAUAAACCCCCCCCCCCCCCCAAAAAAAAAUUUUAUGAGGAACUCAGAAUCACGCCACAACACAGAAACGACAAGAGUGGUGAUGUUACAGAGCAAGCAGAGAUGAGCAGGCGGACAGGAAUCGCAGGGAAUCAAAUGAAAAUUGGUGAUCACCUGCAGGCAUGGCGGGAGGGGAGGCUGGUAGAGGGCCCGUCGAUGCUGCAGCCCCCCCGCGAGCUCCUUGGGUGCGCCGAAGUCGGCGUUCAUCUCUCUUCUUCUUCUUCUUCUUCUUCUUCUUCUUGCUGGCUACUCGAUCGAUCUUUUGGCCACGGAUAGCGGAAGCCUCCGCCUCUCUCUCUCUCUCUCUCAGUGCAGCUCUCUUGACUCACUCACAGCGGUGGUCGCUUUCUUGUAGAGGGGAGAAAGCGAGAGGGGGUGGGGAUAAGAGCGAGAGGUACAGGGUAGCAUAGCAGGCUGCAGGCCGCGGCGCCGGCGGUUUGGUGGCGAGGCCCUUGCUGUUGGUUUCGCUUGUCCGCAGCAGUUGCAGACAGCGUAGUCGGACAGCGAGAGUCACCCUCGAGUCCACCUCCACUCUCCGGACUAUGCUGCGCUGUGCUGCCCACCAGCGUCGCGGCGCGCGCUGCCGGUUUUGCUCAUGCCUUCUCUGUGGGUGGUUGGUGCCGCUGCCGCUGCCGUCGUGGAUUGUGGCCUCGUUUAGUUGGUGGGACAAAAAAAAAAAAAUUAGUAUCUUAGUAUUUUUGUUUUUAUUUUAUAAUUAUUAUCUAAUUAUAGAUCAACUGGUUUCAAAAGAUUUAUAACGUAAAUUAUACAAUUAGUUAUUAUUUUUAUUUAUAUUUAAUUUAAUUUUCCAUGUAUUUGCCACAAAAUUUGAUGUAACGUAAAAUCUUCAAAAUAUUUUAGUAGUUAGGUAGAACUAAACAAGACCUGUGUUAUAUGUGGCCUUCCUCGGUGGGUGGCAGGAGCGGCGCCGACGCCGUCUGGUAGGGGAGCUUGUUGAGGCGGAUGCGGCAGUAGCAUGGCGCCGUGGUCGGGUGCACCCCGGAGCCGGACGAGGCGGUGCUGCGUGGCCGGCAGGCAGGUCGCAAUGCCUGCGACGACGACGAGUCGGUGAUGCGAGGCGAGGCAAUGCGGGUGGGUGGCGGCAAUGGCGGGCGGAAUCGGAGACGAAGACCGGAAGGGGGGGGAAGAGGAAGAGGAAAGGUUGGCACGGCUGGGGUGUGUUUUCGAUGGGGAAGGAGUGGUGACCAGCCUGGAUCCUGGUCCGGUGAGCUGUUCCCCUGCGCGCGCGGGGGCCUGGGCCUAUUUCCUCGUCGCCAGCGGUCCCGGCCCUGUCGCGGACACGUGGGUCCGGACCCGUGAGGUGGACAUGGAUCCCAGCUGUCAGUGUGAGAAUGUGGAUGCGAACUCGGUGGAGUCAGGAUAAGGCUGGUGGUGGGCGUACGGGGAGGCGCGCGGGGCCGGUCCUCUCUGCCCGGUCAGUCCACUCCAGUCCAGUACAGCUGCAUGCCAGGCGCUUUUGCGGUGGGGCAGCGUGGGGUCGUCCCUGUGGC
rnacentral:lncRNA from 1 species